UAGAGUUUGAUCAUGGCUCAGGAUGAACGCUAGCGACAGGCUUAACACAUGCAAGUCGAGGGGCAGCGGGGGUGAUGGCUUGCCAUCACCUGCCGGCGACCGGCGCACGGGUGAGUAACACGUAUGCAACCUGCCCGCCACAGGGGGAUAAGCGGAAGAAAUUCCGUCUAAUACCGCGUGACGCGGCGUCGGGGCAUCCCGGUGCCGCCAAAGGGAUUACCGGUGGCGGAUGGGCAUGCGGCGCAUUAGCUAGUCGGCGGGGUAACGGCCCACCGAGGCGACGAUGCGUAGGGGUUCUGAGAGGAAGGUCCCCCACACUGGUACUGAGACACGGACCAGACUCCUACGGGAGGCAGCAGUGAGGAAUAUUGGUCAAUGGGCGGGAGCCUGAACCAGCCAAGUCGCGUGAGGGAUGACGGUCCUACGGAUUGUAAACCUCUUUUGCCGGGGAGCAAGCGUGCGUUCGUGAACGCGCGUCGAGAGUACCCGGAGAAAAAGCAUCGGCUAACUCCGUGCCAGCAGCCGCGGUAAUACGGAGGAUGCGAGCGUUAUCCGGAUUUAUUGGGUUUAAAGGGUGCGUAGGCGGGAUGCCAAGUCAGCGGUAAAAAUGCGGUGCUCAACGCCGUCGAGCCGUUGAAACUGGCGUUCUUGAGUGGGCGAGAAGUAUGCGGAAUGCGUGGUGUAGCGGUGAAAUGCAUAGAUAUCACGCAGAACUCCGAUUGCGAAGGCAGCAUACCGGCGCCCUACUGACGCUGAGGCACGAAAGCGUGGGUAUCGAACAGGAUUAGAUACCCUGGUAGUCCACGCAGUAAACGAUGAAUGCUAACUGUCCGGUGCGAGUGAGCGCUGGGCGGUACAGCGAAAGCGUUAAGCAUUCCACCUGGGGAGUACGCCGGCAACGGUGAAACUCAAAGGAAUUGACGGGGGCCCGCACAAGCGGAGGAACAUGUGGUUUAAUUCGAUGAUACGCGAGGAACCUUACCCGGGCUCAAACGCAGGAUGACGGGUCCCGAAAGGGGCCUUUCUUCGGACAUUCUGCGAGGUGCUGCAUGGUUGUCGUCAGCUCGUGCCGUGAGGUGUCGGCUUAAGUGCCAUAACGAGCGCAACCCCUGUCCACAGUUGCCAGCAGGUAAAGCUGGGGACUCUGUGGAGACUGCCGGCGCAAGCUGCGAGGAAGGCGGGGAUGACGUCAAAUCAGCACGGCCCUUACGUCCGGGGCGACACACGUGUUACAAUGGCAGGUACAGCGGGAUGCCACGGGGCGACCCGGCGCUGAACCCGAAAACCUGUCUCAGUUCGGAUUGGAGUCUGCAACCCGACUCCAUGAAGCUGGAUUCGCUAGUAAUCGCGCAUCAGCCACGGCGCGGUGAAUACGUUCCCGGGCCUUGUACACACCGCCCGUCAAGCCAUGGAAGCCGGGGGUACCUGAAGUGCGUGACCGCGAGGAGCGCCCUAGGGUAAAACCGGUGACUGGGGCUAAGUCGUAACAAGGUAACCGUA
rnacentral:rRNA from 1 species